GUGGGGAAUAUUGGACAAUGGGGGGAACCCUGAUCCAGCCAUGCCACGUGUGUGAAGAAGGCCUUUUGGUUGUAAAGCACUUUAAGCGAGGAGGAGGCUACCGAGAUUAAUACUCUUGGAUAGUGGACGUUACUCGCAGAAUAAGCACCGGCUAACUCUGUGCCAGCAGCCGCGGUAAUACAGAGGGUGCAAGCGUUAAUCGGAUUUACUGGGCGUAAAGCGCGCGUAGGUGGCCAAUUAAGUCAAAUGUGAAAUCCCCGAGCUUAACUUGGGAAUUGCAUUCGAUACUGGUUGGCUAGAGUAUGGGAGAGGAUGGUAGAAUUCCAGGUGUAGCGGUGAAAUGCGUAGAGAUCUGGAGGAAUACCGAUGGCGAAGGCAGCCAUCUGGCCUAAUACUGACACUGAGGUGCGAAAGCAUGGGGAGCAAACAGGAUUAGAUACCCGUGUAGUCC
rnacentral:rRNA from 1 species